rnacentral:rRNA from 1 species
GCAAGUCGAGCGCGCCCUUCGGGGUGAGCGGCGGACGGGUGAGUAACGCGUGGGAAUAUGCCCUUCUCUAAGGAAUAGCCUCUGGAAACGGAGAGUAAUACCUUAUACGCCCUUCGGGGGAAAGAUUUAUCGGAGAAGGAUUAGCCCGCGUUAGAUUAGGUAGUUGGUGGGGUAAUGGCCUACCAAGCCUACGAUCUAUAGCUGGUUUGAGAGGAUGAUCAGCCACACUGGGACUGAGACACGGCCCAGACUCCUACGGGAGGCAGCAGUAGGGAAUCUUAGACAAUGGGGGCAACCCUGAUCUAGCCAUGCCGCGUGUGUGAUGAAGGCCCUAGGGUCGUAAAGCACUUUCGCCAGAGAUGAUAAUGACAGUAUCUGGUAAAGAAACCCCGGCUAACUCCGUGCCAGCAGCCGCGGUAAUACGGAGGGGGUUAGCGUUGUUCGGAAUUACUGGGCGUAAAGCGCACGUAGGCGGAUUAGUAAGUUAGAGGUGAAAUCCCAGGGCUCAACCCUGGAACUGCCUUUAAUACUGCUAGUCUUGAGUUCGAGAGAGGUAAGUGGAAUUCCGAGUGUAGAGGUGAAAUUCGUAGAUAUUCGGAGGAACACCAGUGGGCGAAGGCGGCUUACUGGCUCGAUACUGACGCUGAGGU